UCGAACGCCCUACGCAAGUAGGAAGUGGCGGACGGGUGAGGAACACGUGGGUUAUCUACCCCUCGGUGAGGAAUACCGGCGAGAAAUCGCCGACAAUACCGCAUACCUUUCGCAAGAAAGAAAGUCGUAAGACGCCGAGAGAUGAGCCUGCGCCCGAUUAGUUUGUUGGUGGGGUAAAAGCCUACCAAGACCACAAUCGGUAGCUGGUCUGAGAGGACGAUCAGCCACACUGGGAUUGAGAACGGCCCAGACUCCUACGGGGGGCAGCAGUGAGGAAUUUUCGUCAAUGGGGGCAACCCUGAACGAGCAACGCCGCGUGCAGGAAGAAGGUCUUCGGAUCGUAAACUGCUUUUCUGUGGGAAGAGAACGGACGGUACCACAGGAAGAAGCCCCGGCUAACUACGUGCCAGCAGCCGCGG
rnacentral:rRNA from 1 species